ACACCGUUGGUGAAGUGGUUAUCAUGCUUGCCUUCCAUACUUUAUGCCCCGGCAUUCAUCUUAGCAAGCGGCUCGGGUUCGAUUCCCGAACGGUGUA